GACAACACCUCACAUUCAUCCAUUCUCACACCGAUGUCAGCAAACUGCUGUACAAGGACCUUAGUAAUUUUCCUGUCUGACGGGGAAGUGAACUGAGGAUCCUCCGGCCACAAGCACAAACAUUUAGACCAUCAACUCCCCAGCUUCUGUGAAAUCCUGACGACACACUUGUCAUGAAAUUCCAUCAUGUUGGACUGCAAUGCGUGGAGAAGGUAAUCUUUUUUUAAGUAGUAAGACCUAUAUAGGCCCCUAAGGUCCAUCAGACAGGUGCUUUUCCCUGGAUUCUAUAGUGUGAGAAGCAGGUGAGAGUCUUCGAAGGCAGCGUCCUAUGAAGUUCUGGCCUUCCAAGACCGUGGAGACAGAACUCAACGUUCUAAAAUGAGAUGGUCUCACUCAUGGAGCAUUUUGCGAUCGCAUCAUUAGCUUGUCCCAUCACGUACACAUGACAAGCUAGCAGAGAGGUCAUAAGAUUGUUUAUUUAUAUUUUUACUUAAAUUGGAGUUGCAUCAGGAAGGGCAUUCCUUGUAAAACUUUUGCCAAAUCUCAAUGCAGUUCUGUGCUGGACCCACUGUGGAGACUCUAAACAAACCUAUUUUUAAUUGUACAUAUGAGGUCUAAAAUUGCCCUUUAUUUUUUACUUUUGGAAAUGUGAUCCCAUCAGACCAUCAGAGCCCAAAAUCCACGGAAGACCAACGGAUUGAGCGACAUUUGCCACCGGAUAAAUUAUUACUUACACUCACUAAUCAGUUUACUCAAUCCAUCAUACUGUGACUCUAAGUAACCGCUCGUUUCAUGCAGUCAUUCCAAUGAUCCAUGAUCCUCUGAAGAGAAAAAUAGAAAAAAAGAGGCAAGAAAUAGAAGAAUAACCAAGACUCAUGAGAAGGUAGUGUAUAUUGUUGGGAUCGCUUUCAUGUUUGUAAUGCUUUCAGUUUAUAAGUAACCACUCUGCUGACGAGGAUUGAUUACUCCACUGUCAACAGGGUACUUUUGUAUUUGUAGCUACAAAUUUUAAUAACCAUAUAAUUCCCUACGAAGUGGUGAUGUAGUGGUUAGAGUGAAGAUGCAAGACCAGAGGAGCGUGAUUUUGAUUCCUCAUGACUGCGUCAGGCCUAGUGAGCCGGCCACUGGAUACAACCUGCUGAAGGGUGGGCCUUGUGGAGGUUGUUGACUGACAAGCCAAUUGGCCUACAGCCUGAGCAGGUGAGCAUAAAACCCUAUAUAGAUACAGAGGCUCAUUAGUGUCGAUGCUUAUCCCCAGAUUUUGUAGUGUGAAACAUGAGAAUCAAGGAGUCCCCUUGGGCAUAAUACAAGUCCAUCUCAAGUUACUUCCUCAGCUGAGGCUGGAAUCUCUUUACAGCUGGGUGGACUGAGAAACCAAGAAUGAAAUAUCUUGUCCAAGGGCACAAACAGCACAACCAGGAAUCAAACCCUUGUCUAUGUAUUGGUAGUCCAACUCCUUAUCUUCAACCCUUGGUUUCCUGUGGGAAAUGUGACCCUCCUGAUUUCUCUGUGUCCAUUGGUCUGUGGACAUGAUCAUUCAUGAUAUGAUGGAAGGAUUGAGGUAAAUACUUUUUAGGGAUACAUUUUGGUGGAUUUCAGGAUGAUCUGUACCAGAAUAGAAAAUGCAAGUUUUUUCACCAUCCAUGGUUUUGCAUGAAAAUGAAAAGCCCCUUCAAUGUUUUUAUAUGUUGUAGCUGACACACAGGGCUACAUUUUUCAUAAUGGUGUCAAAGAGGUUGGGCGUGUCCCACACUGUCAAUUUCAAGGUCAAAAUAUGGUUCAAAAGGUCAUCCAAGUCAAAAAUAUCCAAAUGCACGAACAAAGAUUUAGAUUCCUUGUGGUCUCUCCUUUAGAGAAAUACCUUGUUUUUCAAAAUCGAACCAGUGAUUCCCGAGUUACAGCAAUUUGAAACUUGGCGACCAUGCCAUUUUUUGCAAAAAAGUUAAAUUGCAAUAUCUUGAAAACCAUCGGUCCGAGAAAGACAAAAAAUGAAAUUCUGGCGUUUCUGGCCAUGAAUUACAUUUAUACCCAAUUUCAUAGAAAUUGGACGGGGUGAGGUUGAAUUCAUUGGGUGAACUGAGCUGGAUUGACCCUAUACACAAUUUCAUACCACAGUCGAUAAGCUAUACCGAGGGUCACCCUGAACCUGGAGGUCACCUACCUUGCAUGGUUUCCAUGUACCUACUGCAAGCACAGCUGAUGAGCCAAGUCUGGUGUUUGCUCGUUUUUGAUUGUUAGAGCACACCGAGUUAGUUAGCUACAGUGGGCGGAACCAGAAGAGUUUGAACACAUGCAGGGGAAGUAACCUCUGAGCUAUGUAAUGGUGCAAACUAUGUUUAAAGUAAACAGAAGAGCAGAAAUGUUGGUUAAAAUACUGUAAUGUACAUUUCCCAAAAUGUAGAUAAAAAAUGGUUCUUGUGUUUUGCACCAUGUGCCACUGACCAGUCAAAGAUAAUGUGCCACCAGCGUAAAAUCUGGUCAUUUGUGCCGAUCUACCAGUAUUGUCCUUCACUACAGUACGUUACAGCAUAAUGAUGUGUGCACGUGAAGAAAAUACCAGUUCAA